rnacentral:misc_RNA from 1 species
GAAACUCCUUUCCAUUUCCAACUCUUCCUUCUAUAGUUUAUCUUCUAGUUCAUAAAGGUCCGUGUGAUCUGACAACUCUAUGUUCUUAUCUUUCAUUCUUUCUAAUAUAUAGCACCUCCCUCUUUUUUCUUCACUUCUCUCUCUCUCUCUUUCUCACUCUCUUUCUCUAUGUGAAGAUGAAUUCCCAUUCAAAUCUGUUAUUUCUCUUAAUCUCACUGAUUUUUUCAGAUAAUAUCAUUUUAUUAUCUUCUACUUCUUCUUCUGAAAGUGAGUUUUCGUCUUCCUUUUUCGAUGUAACUUCCUUGAAUCCCAAGUCUCUGAAUUCGCAAAAGAAUCAGUCAGCGUCCAGGCCUCGAAAGCCUUCUACUGGCUGUGAGGUUUGGACUAAGGCCUGCUCCGAGGCAGUUUUGGGCUUGGCCCAGACGCCGGAGACCGUCAGUUGGUUGAAGAGCGUGAGGAGGAAGAUUCAUGAGAACCCUGAGCUCGCUUUCGAGGAAGUUAAGACGAGUGAGUUAGUUAGAAAUGAACUGGAUAAGAUGGAGAUUGGAUAUAAGUAUCCUUUGGCUAAAACGGGUAUUCGGGCUUGGAUCGGUACCGGUGGGCCUCCUUUUGUGGCCAUCAGAGCUGACAUGGAUGCUCUCCCUAUUCAGGAAGCUGUAGAAUGGGAGCAUAAAAGCAAAGUUGCAGGCAAAAUGCAUGCUUGUGGGCAUGAUGCCCAUGUUGCAAUGCUGAUUGGAGCUGCCAAGAUCUUGAAGAGUCGAGAACAUCUUUUGAAGGGAACUGUAAUACUGCUGUUCCAGCCAGCAGAGGAAGCUGGGAAUGGGGCGAAACGGAUGAUAGGAGAUGGUGCUCUAGAGGAUGUGGAAGCUAUAUUUGCAGUUCAUGUCUCCCAUGAACAUCCUACUGCCAUCAUUGGUUCUAGGCCUGGUCCUCUGUUAGCAGGCUGCGGCUUCUUCAGAGCGGAAAUUAGUGGCAAAAAGGGCGGUGCUGGGAACCCACACCACUCUGUUGACCCAAUUUUGGCAGCCUCCGCUGCGGUGAUAAGCUUACAGAGCAUUGUAUCUCGUGAAGCAAAUCCGCUGGACUCCCAAGUGUGUAUAUACUAAAUUAUCUUUCAAUACAGUAUUUUCCUACCAUUUCUGAGUGUUUCAGAUAAUUUGCUAAUUGUGAGAUAUUCCCACUUCACUGUACAGGUCGUGUCCGUUACCACCAUGGAUGGUGGCAACAAUCUUGACAUGAUUCCAGAAACUGUUGUACUUGGCGGUACCUUCAGGGCUUUCUCCAACGCAAGUUUUUAUCAGCUUCUUCGAAGAAUAAAAGAGGUUUUUUUUAUAUUCAAGACCACUGGCCAGUUGAAAAUAGCAAGUUAAAAGAAAAGACCUGCUAAUUCUAUUUGAGCUAACACUAUCUGCAUAUAUCUCAAAAACAGGUGAUUGUAGAACAGGCAAGUGUUUUCAGAUGCUCAGCAACAGUAGACUUCUUUGAGCAGCAACACACAAUCUAUCCUCCAACAGUGAAUAGCGAUCACACGUAUGAACAUGUGAGAAAAGUGGCCAUUGAUUUGUUAGGUCCAACUAAUUUCAGAGUGGUACCACCAAUGAUGGGUGCGGAGGACUUCUCAUUUUACUCAGAGGUGGUUCCUGCAGCUUUCUAUUACAUAGGGAUAAGGAACGAGACCUUGGGGUCAACACACACGGGCCACUCACCCUAUUUUAUGAUAGAUGAGGAUGCCCUCCCGAUUGGUGCUGCAACUCAUGCAGCUAUUGCAGAAAGAUACCUCAUCGAGCAUGGCUAAUGGUAAGAAGUGGAAUGUAGCAGCUAGAGGAUUUAGUAGAUUGUCAGAGAGCAAGAGAAUCGCAGUGUCAUUCCUGCUCCUGCUC